rnacentral:rRNA from 1 species
UAGUCCACGCCGUAAACGAUGGAUACUAGUUGUCGGGGGCCUUGCCCCUUCGGUGACGAAGCUAACGCAUUAAGUAUCCCGCCUGGGGACUACGACCGCAAGGUUAAAACUCAAAGAAAUUGACGGGGGCCCGCACAAGCGGUGGAGGAUGUCGUUUAAUUCGAUGCAACGCGGAAAACCUUACCUGGACUUGACAUCCUGUGCUACCUAGGGAAACUUAGGGUUCUCUUCGGAGACACAGUGACAGGUGUUGCAUGGUUGUCGUCAGCUCGUGUCGUGAGAUGUUGGGUUAAGUCCCGCAACGAGCGCAACCCCUAUGAACUGUUGCCAGCACAUAAUGGUGGGGACUCUGUUCAGACUGCCCAGAUUAACUGGGAGGAAGGUGGGGAUGACGUCAAGUCAGUAUGGCCCUUACGCCCAGGGCUGCACACGUGCUACAAUGUCCAGUACAAUGUGAACCGAUACCGCGAGGUGGAGGAAAUCUCUAAAACUGGGCUCAGUUCGGAUUGUAGUCUGCAA